GCACCACAAAUCAUUCACAAAAUCCCUAUAAAUACAACAAGCUGCAUUUUCUCUGUUUACCAAAUACAUCACAAAUCUCACAAAAUCACAAAAACAUUUCCAAAAUCUACAACAAAAUUACACAAAUCAUCCACACAUCGCACAUCGCACAAAUCAGAAAAUCAUCCACAUCGCACAGAUCGGGGCGCACAGAAAAUCAUCCACAUCCACACAGUGCGCCGGUCGUCCGCCGCCUCGCCGCCCGCCCGCCCGCGUUGCCGCCUCAGGCUCCGCCGUCACCCGCCGC
rnacentral:lncRNA from 1 species